UGGCGGCCUUAGCGCGGUGGUCCCACCUGACCCCAUGCCGAACUCAGAAGUGAAACGCCGUAGCGCCGAUGGUAGUGUGGGGUCUC
rnacentral:rRNA from 1 species